GAUGAACGCUGGCGGCGUGCCUAAUACAUGCAAGUCGAGCGAAAAGACGAGGAGCUUGUUCCUCUGACGUUAGCGGCGGACGGGUGAGUAACACGUGGAUCACCUCCCUAUCAGACUGGGAUCACUUCGGGAAACCGGAGAAAAUACCGGAUAAUAUCUUGCACCGUAUGGUUCAAUAGUGAAAGACGGUUGUGCUGUCACUUCUCGCUGGAUCCGCGCCGCAUUAGCUAGUUGGUACGGUAACGGCUUAUCAAGGCAACGAUGCGUAGCCGACCUGAGAGGGUGAUCGGCCACACGGGAACGUAGACGCGGUCCAGACGCCUGCGGGAGGGAGCAGUAGGGAAUCUUCCGCAAUGGUCGGAAGCCUGACGGAGCAACGCCGCGUGAGUUAUGAAGAUCUUCGGAUCGUAAAACUCUGUUAUUAGGGAAGAACAAAUUUGUAAGGAACUAUGCACUGCUUGACGGUACCUAAUCAGAAAGCCACGGCUAACUACGUG
rnacentral:rRNA from 1 species